GGAGGAGCCGUGUGUGGCUUUUGGUGACCCCACGCAGCUACACGAGCCCCUCGGGCUUUUCCCCGCUGACAGAUCUACAAGAAAGAGUAACAACUGUUUAGGGGAUGAAUGAAAUUUAUGGAAUGAACAAACUUAAAAACAUAUUCCUGCCCUCUCAUUUUAAUUAUUUUCCAGCAUUCAUUACAAAAUUAUAUUACAAAUGUAUAUAAAGUCGUCUCUGUUGCCUAUUUAAAUGCAUCUGUUACGUUUUAGUGACAAUAAUGUUCUACCUUUUGUUGGAAACUUAUAAAAGAAUCAAGACUGUUUGAAAAAAGUAAGAAAUUGAAAUUUAAUCUUGUUUUACCUAAACAGUUAGAGAACUUGUAGGGAAAUGUUCAUCAGAUGUGAACACUGAUCUCGCUCGUGACUCAGUAUGCUCCAUAAAUAGAACACAUACUGACGUUAUAUUUCAGCAGAUGCAAAUCAUCUCCCUUUUUCAUUAUGCUGUGUGUCAAAGGGUCAUGCCAAGAUUUUUCACUUUUUGCAGGACAUUUCUGCUUAUCCUUUUAAAGGUGAAAUCAAGAACCCAUGUUUGUGCUAUCUUUAAUUCUAGAUUAAAUACAGGUAAUGAUUAAAUAAAAACUGUAAGGAGUUAAUUCUAGGUAGCUAGAAAAGUUGAGGGAUUUUUAGUCAGGCUGUUCAAAAUCAGUUUUGGUUUUCUCUUUCCAGUAUCUUAUUUUAAUGAGAACUUCACCAUCUGAAGAAAGGUCAUCUGAAAAGUUUCAAGUACUCCACCUUCUUCGAUUAGCAUCUUGCUCAUAAGAAUUCGUUCUGAACUUUCCAGCAGAUUCAUUCAACAAAACUAGGGAAGAUAAUGACACCUCUGAAGAAAAAACCCCUUCAGACUUGAGAAAAAAGUAACAGUCAUAAGGAGAGAAAUGCCCACUUGGAAUAUUAAAAGAAUGUCUGCAAGCCAUAUUUAGAGCAGGUUAAUUUUUAUGCCAUAGGAAGUAAUAGCAUCUUUCUGCAUAUUACUGCAUAUUUCAAAGUAUGCAACUAUUUAAUCUGUUAAAUGCUAAGUUGCAUUUUACAACAAGUAUAAACAUAUUGUUUCUUUCUUUGAAAAUGGCAAUUGCAAUAGAUAAUCCAAUUAACUGCAGCAGCCUAGGUCUCAUUUUUAAACAACUGGGACGUCUGUGUUGCCACAGGACACAGCCACUACAUUAUUCCAGUUUGCUGAGGUACUGAUAGCAAUCUAACCAACCUAACAGAGCUCAACGUAUGUCCAUUUACCUGCUUCUCAGCUGCAGCAGAAGUAACUGCAGGGCAGAUGUAACCCCUCUGACUAUGAUAAGCAGCUUUGCUAAGAUCAUCUCUUCACUCUGACUUCACUGUUCUCAUAUUUGAUAAAUCUGUUAUAUGUCCUUUUUCCUCUUAACUAAAAGAUCACUUACAAGCUCAGACUCAUUUGUGACUAUGAAGGCCCGAGUACUUGUUAAAGCCUUUGGAACAUUUUUCUUCUAUUAAGAAGACACAGGAGUACCAAUAUGUACUUGAUACUUUGUUUUCAUUAGUAUAAUUACAAUACAUUCUGGACAGUUACAAAAUCUAAGGAAUCACGUUUUCUCCAUAAAUUUCUAUUGCAAACUUCAAACAUUUGGGUGCCUUUCCAUUACUUCUGCACACUUUUCCUACAAUCUUAGUAAGGAGUACAGCAACCCUGUUUGUUUUUUUUGUUUUUUUGUUUUUUUUUUCAUCAGCUUUUAGUUCUGCUUUGUGACUCAGGCUUUGAUGUCCACCUUGAAUGCUGGUUCAGCUGCUUAGUUAAAAGCCUGCAGCUAGUCUCUCCAUGUUACACCAAUUCAACAGAGGAUAUUUCCACUGGGACAGUUUAGAAAAGGUACAUAUGCAAAAUGAUUUCUGGGUCACUUAGAGCAGUAGCAUUUAGCAUAUCUCUAAAGUCAAAUCCUGCUCUAGAUCAGAACAAAUCCAAUGAA